GACGAACGCUGGCGGCGUGCUUAACACAUGCAAGUCGAACGAGACGAUUGAAAGCUUGCUUUUAAAAGUCGAGUGGCAAACGGGUGAGUAACGCGUAGACAACCUGCCUUUGAGAUGGGGACAACAGUCCGAAAGGACUGCUAAUACCGAAUGUUGUAUAUUUUCCACAUGGAAGAUAUAUUAAAGAUGGCCUCUAUUUAUAAGCUAUCGCUCAAAGAUGGGUCUGCGUCUGAUUAGCUAGUUGGUGGGGUAACGGCCUACCAAGGCGACGAUCAGUAGCCGGUCUGAGAGGAUGAACGGCCACAUUGGGACUGAGACACGGCCCAGACUCCUACGGGAGGCAGCAGUGGGGAAUCUUCCACAAUGGACGAAAGUCUGAUGGAGCAACGCCGCGUGAGUGAAGAAGGGUUUCGGCUCGUAAAGCUCUGUUGUCGGGGACGAAUGUGCAGUAUUUGAAUAAAGUACUGUAAUGACGGUACCUGACGAGGAAGCCACGGCUAACUACGUGCCAGCCGCCGCCGUAAUAC
rnacentral:rRNA from 1 species